rnacentral:rRNA from 1 species
GAUGAACGCUGGCGGCGUGCCUAAUACAUGCAAGUCGAGCGAACAGACGAGGAGCUUGCUCCUCUGACGUUAGCGGCGUACGUGUUAGUAACACGUGGAUAACCUACCUAUAAGACUGGGAUAACUUCGUGGAACCGGAGCUAAUACCGGAUAAUAUAUUGAACCGCAUGGUUCAAUAGUGAAAGACGGUUUUGCUGUCACUUAUAGAUUGAUCCGCGCCGCAUUAGCUAGUUGGUAAGGUAACGGCUUACCAAGGCGACGAUGCGUAGCCGACCUGAGAGGGUGAUCGGUCACACUGGAACUGAGACACGGUCCAGACUCCUACGGGAGGCAGCAGUAGGGAAUCUUCCGCAAUGGGCGAAAGCCUGACGGAGCAACGCCGCGUGAGUGAUGAAGGUCUUCGGAUCGUAAAACUCUGUUAUUAGGGAAGAACAAAUGUGUAAGUAACUAGGCACGUCUUGACGGUACCUAAUCAGAAAGCCACGGCUAACUACGUG